CAAGUCGAACGAGAAAGUCCGCAAGGAUGAGUAAAGUGGCGUACGGGUGAGUAACACGUGGAUAAUCUACCCUCUAGUGGGGAAUACCGUUGGGAAACCGACGACAAUACCGCAUAAGCUCGAGAGAGGAAAGCAGCAAUGCGCUGGAGGAGGAGUCCGCGGCUGAUUAGCUAGUUGGUGAGGUAAUGGCUCACCAAGGCUCAGAUCAGUAGCCGGCCUGAGAGGGCACACGGCCACACUGGCACUGAAACACGGGCCAGACUCCUACGGGAGGCAGCAGUGGGGAAUCUUGCACAAUGGGGGAAACCCUGAUGCAGCGACGCCGCGUGAGCGAUGAAGCCCUUCGGGGUGUAAAGCUCUUUCGGCAGGGAAGAUGAUGACGGUACCUGCAGAAGCAGCUGCGGCUAACUACGUGCCAGCAGCCGCGGUAAUACGUAGGCAGCAAGCGUUGUUCGGAGUUACUGGGCGUAAAGGGUGUGUAGGCGGUUGGAUAAGUGUGGUGUGAAAUCUCCCGGCUCAACUGGGAGGGUGCGCUACAAACUGUCUGACUAGAGUGUGGGAUGGGAAAGUGGAAUUCCUGGUGUAGCGGUGAAAUGCGUAGAUAUCAGGAGGAACACCGGUGGUGUAGACGGCUUUCUGGACCAUAACUGACGCUGAGACACGAAAGCGUGGGUAGCAAACAGGAUUAGAUACCCUGGUAGUCCACGCCCUAAACGAUGCAUAUUUGGUGUGGGUCAUUCAUUUGAUCCGUGCCGGAGCUAACGCGUUAAAUAUGCCGCCUGGGGAGUACAGUCGCAAGGCUGAAACUCAAAGGAAUUGACGGGGGCCCGCACAAGCGGUGGA
rnacentral:rRNA from 1 species